rnacentral:rRNA from 1 species
GUACACGCUGUGACUAGCAUAUCAAUAAGCGGAGGAAAAGAAACUAACAAGGAUUCCCCUAGUAACGGCGAGUGAAGCGGGAAGAGCUCAAAUUUGAAAUCUUAAAGGGUUUCCCUUUACGAAUUGUAGUUUAAAGAAGUGUUUUCUGUUGAGGUUUUGGUAAAAGUUCUUUGGAAUAGGACAUCAUAGAGGGUGAGAAUCCCGUAUUUGACCUUUACUUUCAACUUUGUGAUACACUUUCAAAGAGUCGGAUUGUUUGGGAAUGCAGUCCAAAAUGGGUGGUAAAUUUCAUCUAAAGCUAAAUAUUGGCGAGAGACUGAUAGCGAACAAGUACCGUGAGGGAAAGAUGAAAAGAACUUUGAAAAGAGAGUUAAACAGUACGUGAAAUUGUCAAAAGGGAAGCGUUUGACACCAGUGUUGUUUUUCUGAAAAUCAAUUAAAGAACUGUUUAUGCUAAGUUGUUUAGACUUUAUCAGCUAUCUGUUUAGUUUUAGAGCUUUUCUUUAAUGCACUUUUCAGUUAACAAGUCAACAUCAAUUUCUUUUGCUGUAAAAAAGCUUGAGGAAGGUGGCUUGAGAUUCGUCUUAAGUGUUUAUAGCCUCUUGCCUAUGCAGUCGGAGAGAUUGAGGUCUGCAGCGUAGAUCCUUCGGGGCUAAAUGCAUUUGUGCUAAGUUAUAGCAUUUUAUAGACAACUUGUUGACUAUGAUUUGUCUUGUAGCUUACUCGCUUAUGUUAUUUUACCUACGCUUAGGAUGUUGAAGUCAUCGUAUCGCG